CCAUGGUUUAAAACAUUUGUAUGUUAAACAACAGUUUUGGAAAUGAAUUCUUCAGAGCCUCAGUCUUGUUUCGUAUCCCUCAAUUAGGCUUCUAAAUUGGUACAGCCCUGUAGAGCUGCUGUUAGCAGCACCAAUCCCUUCCACACCAAGGGGCAAACAUUGCUUCCUGGAAACUUUAUAUAUUGGUGUAACUUUUCUUAAUCUUUGCUGUUUUCUUUCCAGGACAAAAACAAACCAAAACAACCAAAUCACUUUUAACACAUGAAAGGUCCUGGAGCUCUGUAAGAAGACAGCUGAGCACUGGCAGUGCCAAACCACAUCAGAGAUACCUCAUCCUGGAGGAGGACUUGCUGCAUUCAGGCUUCCAUUAUGGAAGCAGCUCUGCUGCAGUGCUGGUGUGCUGUAGGACUGGUCCUCAGUGGAGUGUGCUGGGAACACCAUCACAGCCCUCAGACAGACAGGAGGACGUCACAGCCCUCUGAGCUCAGCAGUUGAACUGGCCAAACACAGUUCAGUGGGAUGCCUUGGAUGUCCAAAGGGCUGAGGCAAAGAGGUGCUGCAGCUUCUGUGUCCUCAUUAGUGAGCAGCAGGAGAGCAUCCGUGUUGUGCCUUUCCUUGCCCUGCAGCAAUUUUACUCCAAAAGUCCUGUAUUUUUGGACAAUUGUCUACUUGCAUCCAUCCCUGGAAGGGGCUCAGAGUGCAUUUCACAUUGAAAAAAACCAAAACAACUGAUCUGUGCUGCUCUGGCUGAAGAAGAGGCUUCCUUUAAAAACGGCUCAAGCGGUGGGAAUGCUGCCAAGGCGCUCCGGCGGGUGACGCAGCAAACUGCUGCAUUGCUCCUGCUGUCCUUGCCCAGGAUGCCCAGCAAUCAGCGUGAUGAAGGCUCUCAUUUCCUCAUUUGCAAGUCUACGUUGCUUCACUUUGUCGCUGACUUUCUACGUGGUGUUUGUGCAACUCUUCCCAGAGCCCUGGGAGGACGGUUACCUUUGACAGCCAUUUCACCUGGUGAAACUCCUGGGCUGGGCAAUGGCCAGCAGCCACCUUCCCAAUGGCACCCUGGAUUGAGUGGGACUGUUUGGUGCCUCCCUUCCCAGCAAAAUAAAAGAGGCUGCAGGGGAUUCCACUGCUCACGUGGCUUGGCUUGAGGAGAUCAGCAAGGAACCUGUUCCUGUGUCUGUGUCUGGCUGUGUUGCUCCAUGGACUGAUGGAGCCAGCGCUGCUCAGUGAACCUGUGAUUGGGCACAGCAGUCCUUGGUAGGUGAGACCUUGCUUACGUUGCAGGACUACUGUCAGAGCAAGAGAGGAGUGCUCCGUUGUCAUCCCUGUGGUAUUCUCAGUUUCAUGUGCUGCAAUUAAACCACCUGCCAAAUAAUGAUGUGGCAAAUCUGGGUGGUGUGGCCUCCUCUGAUCUGCUCCUUAAAGCUGGGAACAUGAGCUGGACUGGAAAGCAUCUGCUCUGUGCAACCUUGGUUAUGGUAAUCAUUUAUGACUGUUAGUAGAUCUGAAAUUUGCAGUUAAAACAUACCAAUGACAGUGUCAGUUCCUCCUGUUCUCCCUGGGUUCUUCUGAAAAGAGCAAGGGCAGCGUGGCUGCUCUCCUUUGGAGCAGGGAUGAAUCAGCAGAGGGUGAAUAGCAGGAGGCUGGUACUGCUGUAUUUUCUCUGCAGAUGUAAACUACGUGAACACAUUCAUCACAUCCUGAGAAUGCACCCCGGAUUUGCUUUUGUGCCUCUUGUUAUUACAAGAAAUCAACAAUUUCCGAACAAUCCUGUCUCAUGGAAUCAGCAAUUCCCAGGUGCCAGUGGGGUCUUUGGGGGGCUGUCCUGGUCUUCACAGGUGUCAGCCUGGCACAGCCAAUGCAGAGUUUGGGAAGCAAACAUCCUCUCCAGGUGUUAUUCCCUGUCUCGGCAAAGCUGGCAGAUUUGUGGCACAGAUGCUGCCAAAAGUCUUGUCUGAAGCCAUGUCUCAGCUGAGGUGUGACUUGUGCCACCAAGGAAAAAGUGCCACCUGGAUUGGAAUGUCAGGGAGGUGGCAGGUGGCACAAUUUUCCCUCGCUGUCUGAGGGAAGUGAGGCUUUUUCUUUUAUUUGCAGAAGGACCACGCUUUAAGCGGGGCUGUGCUGCAGCUCAAGGAGGUUUUCCUUGAGCUCAUCAUCCUGUGAAGUGUGGAGAGAUGUAAACUACUGAGCCUCCUCUGCAGCUGGUAUUUCCAAGGUGCUUGCAGGGGUGUUGGAUGCAAACCUCUCUGGACAGCCUCUAAAAUGCCAGUGACAGGGUUGCCAUGAUUGUAUCAUGAGUCUUGCAUUGGCUGCAUGUUUUCCAUGGAGUCAGUUCCUGGAAUCACACAAUUAGGUAGGAACGUGUUCUUUAAUUUUCAAGGAAGAAAGUCCAUUUCAGGAUUUCCCUGUAGUCCUGAACCUUCACAACUGAAGUGAGGAGGUCCUGCUCACCUGGCCGAUCUGUACGUUUUAUAGACAGAUUCACGCUUUUAA